GAUGAACGCUGGCGGCGUGCCUAAUACAUGCAAGUCGAGCGAACAGACGAGGAGCUUGCUCCUCUGACGUUAGCGGCGGACGGGUGAGUAACACGUGGAUAACCUACCUAUAAGACUGGGAUAACUUCGGGAAACCGGAGCUAAUACCGGAUAAUAUAUUGAACCGCAUGGUUCAAUAGUGAAAGACGGUUUUGCUGUCACUUAUAGAUGGAUCCGCUCCGCAUUAGCUAGUUGGUAAGGUAACGGCUUACCAAGGCAACGAUUCGUAGCCGACCUGAGAGGGUGAUCGGCCACACUGGAACUGAGACACGGUCCAGAGUCCUACGGGAGGAAGCAGAAGGGAAUCUUACGCAAUGGGCGAAAGCCUGACGGAGCAACGCCGCGUGAGUGAUGAAGGUCUUCGGAUCGUAAAACUCUGUUAUUAGGGAAGAACAAAUGUGUAAGUAACUAUGCACGUCUUGACGGUACCUAAUCAGAAAGCCACGGCUAACUACGUG
rnacentral:rRNA from 1 species